UACGUAGGGUGCAAGCGUUAUCCGGAAUUAUUGGGCGUAAAGAGCUCGUAGGCGGUUUGUCGCGUCUGCUGUGAAAACUGGAGGCUCAACCUCCAGCCUGCAGUGGGUACGGGCAAACUAGAGUGCGGUAGAGGGUAGUGGAAUUCCCGGUGUAGCGGUGAAAUGCGUAGAGAUCGGGAGGAACACCAGUGGCGAAGGCGGCUACCUGGACCAGCACUGACACUCAGGCACGAAAGCGUGGGGAGCAAACAGG
rnacentral:rRNA from 1 species